AGUUGAAGCAUAUGUCCUGCAAGCUUAGGGGUGCUACAAGUUGACCACUGCAGCAGUAAAGAUGACUCUGAAGAACGGCGUGGGAUGGUUCCUUUCAAAUGCACUUGAGCAGCGGUCUCCAACCACAGGGCCACAGAGCUGGAGGUGAGCAGCAGCUGGAUCUACCAUGAAAGACUUGUGAAUCCAGGAAGAGAGACUGACUGGGCAACAUGUUAUUCAGGGUCUCCCUCUGUUGUCCAAGGCUGGAGUGUAGUAGUGCUAUCGCAGCUGACUGCAGCCUCAACCUUCCAGGCUGAAGCGAUCCUCCCACCUCAACCUCCCACGUGGCUGAGACUACAGGUGCUUGCCACUAUGCCCAACUAACAUUUGGAAUUUUCGUAUACGUGGAUUCUAGAGGGGUGACAGCGAAACGUGGGACCAUCCAGUUGCAGGAAAACAAGCUUGACACGCCCACUAAUUCUACAUUAUGCUCCUACCUCCCGGCAGCCUCUCCAGGCCCAGAACUUUCUCCAGUCAGCCUCUACAGACCAAGCUCAUGACUCACAAUGGCCUAUUUAGGCCCAUACCCUACGUCACGGCAGCCUCCGCAGAUGAGGCUACUGCCUCACA
rnacentral:lncRNA from 1 species